rfam:Capsaspora owczarzaki ATCC 30864 unplaced genomic scaffold supercont2.15, whole genome shotgun sequence.
GCAGUAGUAGCUCAGAGGUAGAGCACCAAAUUAGACUUGAAGCGCGUGGGUUCGAUUCCCACCUCUGCA